AAUCCAGACGCCUACCGAGUGGCACUCAGGACCCUCAGGACCCCACCAGUGCGAAUGCAUAAACAACUUUAAAAGCCCAUUAAGAGACUCAGGGUAGCCCCAAAUCCAGACGCCUACCGAGUGGCACUCAGGACCCUCAGGACCCCACCAGUGCGAAUGCAUAAACAACUUUAAAAGCCCAUUAAGAGACUCAGGGUAGCCCCAAAUCCAGACGCCUACCGAGUGGCACUCAGGACCCUCAGGACCCCACCAGUGCGAAUGCAUAAACAACUUUAAAAGCCCAUUAAGAGACUCAGGGUAGCCCCAAAUCCAGACGCCUACCGAGUGGCACUCAGGACCCUCAGGACCCCACCAGUGCGAAUGCAUAAACAACUUUAAAAGCCCAUUAAGAGACUCAGGGUAGCCCCAAAUCCAGACGCCUACCGAGUGGCACUCAGGACCCUCAGGACCCCACCAGUGCGAAUGCAUAAACAACUUUAAAAGCCCAUUAAGAGACUCAGGGUAGCCCCAAAUCCAGACGCCUACCGAGUGGCACUCAGGACCCUCAGGACCCCACCAGUGCGAAUGCAUAAACAACUUUAAAAGCCCAUUAAGAGACUCAGGGUAGCCCCAAAUCCAGACGCCUACCGAGUGGCACUCAGGACCCUCAGGACCCCACCAGUGCGAAUGCAUAAACAACUUUAAAAGCCCAUUAAGAGACUCAGGGUAAAUAAAUAACUACCCCU